CGGAAAACCAUCGUCGAUUGCCCAUUGGCGAGAGGAGAAGUAUUUUGGAGCUAUGAGAGUAAUGAGCUGCAACCCAUGUGUCAUCGAAUUGUGCACGAAAAUACCAGAGAAGUUCGGUGUUACUGCAGAAAUGGUGGAACCCUUUCUCGAAGGAAUGACCCUGUUUGAUGCGAUGGCAGCUAAGAGGAUCUACCUGACUGAUCAUAAGGCUUUGAUAGGUA